CCUACGGGAGGCAGCAGUAGGGAAUCUUCCACAAUGGACGAAAGUCUGAUGGAGCAACGCCGCGUGAGUGAAGAAGGGUUUCGGCUCGUAAAGCUCUGUUGGUAGUGAAGAAAGAUAGAGGGAGUAACUGGCCUUUUUUUGACGGUAAUUACUUAGAAAGUCACGGCUAACUACGUGCCAGCAGCCGCGGUAAUACGUAGGUGGCAAGCGUUGUCCGGAUUUAUUGGGCGUAAAGGGAGUGCAGGCGGUUU
rnacentral:rRNA from 1 species